UAAAAAGCUCUGGCAAUUAUGGGGCUGGGCGUGGACCUCUGGAAUCAGGCAGACAGUGAAGAGUGGUGAUGAA
rnacentral:lncRNA from 1 species